AGGUCAGGGCACCGGGGCGGGAUCAGGGGCCACAGGCUGUUGACAAAGCCCUAUCCCUGCGCCCUCACCCCGUGGGGGCGGGGCAGGCGUGGGUGCACCCAGACCCCCCAACCCUGAUGUCCCCAAUACCAAGGGCAGAGAGCAGCCCUGGCCGGUCCUUGGAGGAUGCGGGCGCCGAGGGGGCCGGGGUCAGUCGGUUCAGAGUCGGAGCAUAAGCCCGGUGGCCGAGUCGGCCGGGUGGUGGGGCGCCGGGGGGGCCGGAGCCGGGCAGGGCAGUGACCCGCUUGCCGGGGUCAAAGUCGCCAGUGUGGGCCGCGGAAGAGGAGCGGCCAGGCGGGGCGCAGACACCCCUCACCCCAUCCUGGGCCGCGCCGGUGCCACCGGGCAGUCCUCGGGGCAGGAGCCCACCGAGGGGAGACAGCGCUGGGAGCGCCUCGUACCCCGGCCAUACGCAGACUCGGCGCGCUGAAUUCCACCCCGCGGACCCGCGCCCCACAGACCUUUGUCCCACGGGUCCUGGUUCCGCAGACCCUAAUCCUGCAGACCCCUGAGCCCGCGGACCCUGGCCCAGCAGGUGGUGGUCGCGGUGGGUCCCAGCUCCGGGAGGGGACGCCCUGGGACGCGGAGGGGCGCGCGGGCGUGGGGGCCGUGGCUCAGCCCCCCUUCCUCUCGCUCCCUCCGCCUCCCUGGGCGCCCCCUCGCCCCCUUCCUCUCGCGUCCCCGGGUUCUCGCCCCUUCUUUCCUGAUGCCUGCCUGAUUUUCUGGAAAGACCGACACCCCCAGUCGCCCCCACCGCGGCUCCCGGUUCCUUCCCCUGCAGAGCAGACGGGGGCUGGAGUAGGGGCCAACAUGGGUGACAUGGGUGGACCGGCAGGGCGGUCCCUGGGGUGCCCUUUAACUCUUUCUGUGCCACAUCCCCGGUCUCUGGCCAGUCCUGUCGCGCUAAGGCCCCUCCAGCAGCGCUGACCCUGGUCCCCCACCUGCUGGUCCUGCGGCCGCGGGGCGCUCUCUCCUCCGUCCCACCCGCUCCUUCCACACCACCUCCUUUCCUGGGAGUGGAGAAGCCCCAGCCAGAACCCCUGCCUUCCCCAAGAGGCACGCUCAGAGGGACAUUCUCCCCUUCCUCACUCCCCCUAGAGCCACAUCACACCUGGCUUUGGGGCCCUAGAACCUCAGCCCGCGCCCCUCCCCUUCCACCCCCAGCCAUCCCUGCUCUGUGCCCAGUGAUCUUGGGGUCACCACAACCCCAUGGCGCCUUGAGGCCUCACCUUUCCUGGCCUCUCAGCAUCCUGGGACACUGAUGGUCAUGCCUUCCUUCUAGAAAGUUCUCUCCGAGGCUGUGGCUUCCAGGAUGAGCACUCUCCUCCUCCCACUUCCUCCCCUUCUCCUUCCCCCUCCUCCCUUCUCCCUGGAGAGGUCUUCCUCCAAGUCCCAGUCUUCUUCCCCACCCAGAGCCCCUCCCGCUGACACUUGUCUGCAGUGCCUGUCUCCGCUCCCGCUAGGAAGCCUCCCCUCCGGCAUCUCCAAUCCAUCUCUGGGUCCUGCUCCACCUGCAUUUCCCUAGACCUGUCCUGGCCACCCUCACCCUGGGACACCUCCUGCCCGUGGAGAGCUCCUCUGAUAGGUGCCGUCCUUGGUCUUGGGGGUCCUUUCUCCCUAAUUCUACUUCUGUUUUGGGGGCGUGGGAACCCAGGGUCUUAACCCCAGCCAUUCCCCCUCCCAGGGGCCACUUCCCUCUGAAGCUUAGCCCAGCUCUGUGACCCCCACAGGCCUGCCCCCACCUGGUCCUCACUCCCCUGCAUAGCCACACUGUGGGGGCUCCAUGCUUCCCAGCCCAUAGGAAGCCCUGUUCCCAGAGGGGGCCAUUCUGUUUUAGUUGGAGCAGUGGCCAGAGGCAAAGGUCAGAAGGCAAAGGUCAUAAAAGUUUGUCUCUACCUGCCAGCAUCUGCUCCUGCUACUGCAUCUUCUCCCCUCUCCACCCAAACCCUCCCUCAGCUCCUGCCCCCACCUCUCCAGAGGCACAGACAACAGGGUUCUGAUCUUGGGUCAUGGUGCUCCCCCUGCCAGCCUCAGUCCGAGACCUCUGUGAAUGGCGGUGAUGGCUAAUGGGAUGAGGGGGACCACCUCCUGGUGGCUGCAGGGACUGGGGUGAGGGUGCUGUAGGCUCUGCCUAAGUCAAGUGCCAUGGGGCUGAAGAGACGGCGCACCGGCCCUGGAGAAGAGUCCUCCCUGCCCUCCUGUGUCUGGCCUUGUUUCCUGGAGGACAGGUCCCCACGGGGCAGAGGCCCAGCAGUCCCAGGUUCCUUAGCCUCUGCCACCUCCAGGCCGUGUCUGCUAACCCUGUCUGCCGUCAGCAAGCUUCGUUUUACCUGGUCCCGAACAAAAUAUGUGUUUCAACUGCUAUCCAGUUCUGGUUUCCCUUGACAUUGACGGCACCUGCAGAACUUAAUUUCGGUGUCCAGCAAGACUUAUGGAGCCCAUACUGCCAGCGAGACUCAGAAGCCCCACCCUGGAGUUCUGCAAGGGGCUGAUGAGGAGGAGGGAUGAAAGCGACAGCCGGAAGCCAAGGCGGAGGGACCAGGGGUGGGAGGGGAGGCUGCAUCUGGGCCCAGAAAAACGUGGAAAUGCAGGAAGGGAAACAGGAGGGUGGUGGGGCUGCCCCUCGGAGAGACCUUCUGUGAGCAUUAAAGGGCAUUUUUUUUCCAGGUGUCUUUACUGUGCAUUAAUACAUUUUUACUUUGAUAUAGUUUUGUAACCAGCGUUUCUCACCACAACCUAUAACACAAGCAUUUCCUCACAUUAAUAAGAAGGCCCCUCCACAUCACUACCCAGGGGCACUUAGUAUUUGAGGGUGUGGGAUGGUCAGGUUUUACUCAACCACUGCAGGACUAAGAAAGGCACAAACCUUACGACAAAGCGAAUGGACCUCCGCACUGCAUCCUAGCGCCUUUUGCCCUUAGAUGUGAAUGCAAAGCAAGACCUCUAGGUAUAUGAGACAGACCAAUCACUUGGGAAAGAGGAAACUGGAGGAAACAGAGCUACUGCAGGGAACAGAAGAAAACUUCAAGAACAUUUUAACCACUCUGAUUAUCCUUAGAGACAUGAAAGGAUGAUGCUCCCAUAAAAACUAGAACGGAAUGCUUUGGAAAACAAGCAGAGCGCAGGAAGAGUCCUUGCCGGCUGCAAAUAGAAUAUCUGGAAUUUAAAAAAUUUAAUAGAAGGGUUGGAAAAUUGAGUUGAAGAAAUCUCUCAGAAGAAACAACAAAAAGGCUGGGUGUGGUGGCUCAUGCCUGUAAUCUCAGCACUUUGGGAGGCC
rnacentral:lncRNA from 1 species